rnacentral:rRNA from 1 species
UACGUAGGGGGCAAGCGUUGUCCGGAAUUAUUGGGCGUAAAGCGCGUGUAGGCGGUUAGGUAGGUCCGUUGUGAAAACUCGAGGCUCAACCUCGAGACGCCGAUGGAAACCAUCUGACUAGAGUCCGGAAGAGGAGAGUGGAAUUCCUGGUGUAGCGGUGAAAUGCGCAGAUAUCAGGAGGAACACCAGUGGCGAAGGCGGUGCUCUGGGCCGGAACUGACGCUGAGGAGCGAAAGCGUGGGGAGCAAACAGG